rfam:Xanthomonas oryzae pv. oryzae KACC10331, complete genome.
AUGUACCACCCGUAUACCCCGGUUCCUCCGCGCUCACCUGACGACAGCUCGCGACGUUGUGUUGGCC